rnacentral:lncRNA from 1 species
AUUUUUCUCAUUUAGCCACUUUUAUGCUCAUCAUAUAUAUAUACAUCUUCUACUCCAUCUCUGCAAAUUUUACAAAGCAAAAACUAUACUUCGAGAUAACCAAGUUUUUCUCUCUAACUGCAGAUCAAUCAACAUGGUAUUAAUUUUCAAUCUAUGAAAUUUCUAUUUCAGUACAAUUUAUCAUUUCCUGUUUUUACAUCUCUACAACUACAAGUAUUUCUCUGAACAUUCUAUAUAUAUUCAGAAAAAUCACAAGCACACACCUAUUCACUAAUCAAACUCCCUUUCCGUAAAAUUUGACAACCACAGCAGCAAAACUUUGAUUUCAAAUCUUGAUUUUUUCCUUCCACAGCAGGAUUUCUUUCACACUUCAAAUCUUUGACGAAUACUCAAAUUCACAAAUUCAAUUUUUACUCCUCAACCACGAUAUUUCAAUCCAGUAUAUAUAUGUAUAUCUAAUCUUCUUCUCGCAUUUAUCCAACAAAUCCAACAGGAAAAAGUCUUUUAUAAUUCAUCAUGUUUCUUCUCACCAUCGGUAAUUCUCAUAAACUUGUAUAGUUUAUUUUCAUGUGCAAAAAUCUCUGCUUUCUUUCAAUUUACAGAAAACAACCAAACUCCCACAAAAUUCUUGUUUUGAUAAAUUCAUACAUGCAUACAUCUAUUUUCUGUAAUUCUAUAGAUCUUACUAAUUACAUGGAAAAAGGAAAUAGAAAUAGAAGUGAUUGAAAGAGAAAUGGUGGUUCAAGAGUUUAGACAAGAGAAGGGAAGAGGGGGGAUGGCUGCAGAACGGAGCCGCCGGCGCUGCGCGCCACGGCGGCCGACGGAGGAAGAGAAGGGGCAGCGGUGCGGUGGUCUUGGCCGCUGCUAUGCUGGUCUGGUCGAACAGACGGAGAAGGCGCCUGGGCAGCGCCGCUGUCGACGCGGGGGCGGCGAUGGUGGUGCUGCUGUCGGCCAGGAGAGAGAAGGGAGAGGGGUAAGGGGAGGCGGCGGCCGUUUCUGCCGGCCGGAAAAGGAAGAGGACGCCAGAUCUGGUAGUCGGCAAAGGUCGUCGGAGCGACCGCAGCUGGGUGCGGUGAGGAGAGAGAUCGACGGGGAGCGAGAGGGAGACAAGACCUGAGGGAAGAGGGAGAGAGGUUGAGGAAACGGGAGGGGGAGGCAGAGCCGCCGGCCUCCGGCGGCGGCGUGCCGUCCGGGGCGGCAGCAGGAGGCCGAGUGAACGGCUGAGAGAGAGAGCGGUAGAAAGAAUGAAGAUGUGAGGCUGCGUAUGUGUUAUGUGUUGGUGAAUUGGGGGUUUUAAUUAGGAAAAGUUAGUAUGGGCUUAGGAAUGGGCUCAGAUUAAUUAAGUAAUUGGGCUGCAUUUAUUUUGCUUUGGGCUGCAUAAUUCUUUUAAUUAAAUUGGACUUGGUAUUUUUUUACACUAAUCCAAAUUUUAAAGAAACAUGCAUCUCAUUAUUUAUUUCAUUUUAUUAUAUUUAAUGGAUUAAGAAUUUUAUAAAUCAAAUACUCAAGUUUUAAUUAAAUAAAUAUCAACCCACCCAUAUUUUUUUUAAGAAAAUAUAUUUUAUUACUUAAAUUUAUUAGAUCAAUUAUUUUAUAUGAUCCAAUAAUCUAAAUUAUUUUAAAGUUCAAAUAGGCCCUUAUAUGUUAUUAUUUGAAUUUAUCUGACUAGGUGCGGCGCGACUAGGAUAUGAAUUUUAAUUGUAUUACUCAAGUUAGCAUUCAAGUUGAAGUUCAAGUUCAAGUUAAAUUUCCAGGUGUGGGAUUUAUUUCAGUACAUGCACGUGGUUAAUAUUGUCAUUUAAUAUUAUGUGUUUACCGUAUGUGUUGUAAAAAUAUUUAUCGCUAGGGGCCAGCAUAAUUGGUCCAGGACUUCACCGUCCUUGGUAUGCCACAAUGCGAUUUCAUGUUACAGGGUUGCAACCAUUAUAUUGUCGCCAGGGGCCCACAUAUAGGGUCCGGGACAUUAAAGUCCUUGGAGUUGCCACAGUGCGUAUGGAAGUUAUGUUACGUUAUGACAAUAUGUGUUACCAUUUUAUUAACAUGGACAAUUAUUGCAUGUUCCCACACUGAGUGUACCCUGUAUGCUCAUCCCAUAUUCAACAGUUCAGGUGAUUGAUAUCGGAGGCGCGUGGAGAGUCGAAUGGGCGCGUCGCAUCUAUUUAAAAAUAAAUGUUUCUUAAAACAUAUUAUGUUAUUUCAUGUGAUAUCUUUUGGUUAUGUAAACUCUGAAAUUCUAUACUAUUUGAGAUUUGUGUGUGAUUUAUUUAAAUAAAUGUUGUUAUAUUAUUUUAAUGUCAU